GGGAUGCGCGUGCUAUACUGCAGUCGACGCUUCUUUUUCCCCGGAGCUUGCUCCACCGGAAAAAGAGGAGUGGCGAACGGGUGAGUAACACGUGGGUAACCUGCCCAUCAGAAGGGGAUAACACUUGGAAACAGGUGCUAAUACCGUAUAACAAUCGAAACCGCAUGGUUUUGAUUUGAAAGGCGCUUUCGGGUGUCGCUGAUGGAUGGACCCGCGGUGCAUUAGCUAGUUGGUGAGGUAACGGCUCACCAAGGCCACGAUGCAUAGCCGACCUGAGAGGGUGAUCGGCCACAUUGGGACUGAGACACGGCCCAAACUCCUACGGGAGGCAGCAGUAGGGAAUCUUCGGCAAUGGACGAAAGUCUGACCGAGCAACGCCGCGUGAGUGAAGAAGGUUUUCGGAUCGUAAAACUCUGUUGUUAGAGAAGAACAAGGAUGAGAGUAACUGUUCAUCCCUUGACGGUAUCUAACCAGAAAGCCACGGCUAACUACGUGCCAGCAGCCGCGGUAAUACGUAGGUGGCAAGCGUUGUCCGGAUUUAUUGGGCGUAAAGCGAGCGCAGGCGGUUUCUUAAGUCUGAUGUGAAAGCCCCCGGCUCAA
rnacentral:rRNA from 1 species